rnacentral:rRNA from 1 species
UACGGAGGAUCCAAGCGUUAUCCGGAUUCAUUGGGUUUAAAGGGUGCGUAGGCGGAAUGAUAAGUCAGUGGUGAAAGCCUGCAGCUUAACUGCAGAACUGCCAUUGAUACUGUCAAUCUUGAGUACAUUUGAUGUGGGCGGAAUGUGUCAUGUAGCGGUGAAAUGCUUAGAUAUGACACAGAACACCGAUUGCGAAGGCAGCUCACAAAACUGUAACUGACGCUGAGGCACGAAAGCGUGGGUAGCAAACAGG